CCUACGGGAGGCAGCAGUGGGGAAUAUUGGGCAAUGGGCGCAAGCCUGACCCAGCAACGCCGCGUGAAGGAAGAAGGCUUUCGGGUUGUAAACUUCUUUUCUCAGGGACGAAGCAAGUGACGGUCCCUGAGGAAUAAGCCACGGCUAACUACGUGCCAGCAGCCGCGGUAAUACGUAGGCGGCAAGCGUUAUCCGGAUUUACUGGGUGUAAAGGGCGGGUAGGCGGGGACGCAAGUGCGAUGUGAAACCCCCGGGCUCAACCUGUGGCCUGCAUUUGAAACUGUGUUUCGUGAGUACUGGAGAGGCAGACGGAAUGCCUAGUGUAGCGGUGAAAUGCGUAGAUAUUAGGCGGAACACCAGUGGCGAAGGCGGUCUGCUGGACAGCAACUGACGCUGAGGCGCGAAAGCGUGGGGAGCAAACAGGAUUAGAUACCCCAGUAGUC
rnacentral:rRNA from 1 species